ACUGCUAUCGGGAUAGGACUAAGACAUGCUAGUCGAGUGGCUCAGCCAAAACGAGUCACGGCAUACAGCUCAGUAACACGUGGCUAACCUGCCCUUGGGACGAGAACAACCCCGGGAAACUGGGGCUAACUCUCGAUAGGCGAAGAACUCUGGAAUGAGUCUUCACCCAAACAGUUUAAGGUUAUGCUCUUUAAACCGCCCAAGGAUGGGGCCGCGACCGAUCAGGUUGUUGGUGAGGUAAUGGCUCACCAAGCCUUUUACCGGUGCGGGCCGUGGGAGCGGGAGCCCGGAGAUGGGCACUGAGACGAGGGCCCAGGCCCUACGGGGCGCAGCAGUCGCGAAAACUUUGCAAUAAGCGAAAGCUUGACAGGGCUAUCCCGAGUGCCAUCCGCUGAGGAAGGCUUUUACCCAGUCUAGAACGCUGGGGGAAUAAGGAGAGGGCAAGUCUGGUGUCAGCCGCCGCGGUAAUACCAGCUCUCCGAGUGGUGUGGAUGUUUAUUGGGCCUAAAGCAUCCGUAGCUGGCUAAGUUAGUCCCCUGUUAAAUCCACCGAAUUAAUCGUUGGAUUGCGGGGGGUACUGCUUGGCUAGGGGACGAGAGAGGCAGACGGUAUUUCCGGGGUAGGGGUGAAAUCCUAUAAUCCCGGGAAGACCACCAGUGGCGAAGGCUGUCUGCUAGAACGCGCCCGACGGUGAGGGAUGAAAGCUGGGGGAGCGAACCGGAUUAGAUACCCGGGUAGUCCCAGCUGUAAACGAUGCAGACUAGGUGUUUGAACGGCCACGUGCCGUUCUAGUGCCGCAGGGAAGCUGUUAAGUCUGCCGCCUGGGGAGUACGAUCGCAAGAUUGAAACUUAAAGGAAUUGGCGG
rnacentral:rRNA from 1 species